CUUUCUGGAUCAUGUCAUUCAGAAACAACUGGUACAGUGAGUAAAACUGGGGGCAAUUUUAAGGAAAAGUUACAAGAGCUUGGAGGUCUUGAUGCUGUUUUUGAGGUUUGCUAUAAGCAGUCAUUCAGAUAUGGAAGUGGUUGCAUGGUCCAUGGAAAGUAGCUUGCCUCUUACCAGGGAUACAAAAGUUGACAAGGAUAUGCGGCGCUUGACUCUGCCUUUGAAAUGCUUGAACAUCAUGGAAAAUGCCAAUUUCUUAAGUAAAGAUAGUUAGUUUGAUAAUUUAUGGUCUUGAUUUCAAGCUCUUUAUUUGCUUUAAAAUUCAUCUGAUGCAUCCAAUAAUGAGAACUCUUGUAAUCACUCUGAUGGCUCUGGCAAUGCUGCUGAAAUGGCUUUGGCUUUAGUUGCAGACUACAAAGGGGAAAACAAUGAGACCGUAUUCAUUAAUUCUUCUAAGAACUACAUAGCUGUUAAUGAAGAAGGCUCCAGUCUUCUUCCUGGCUUUCUUCUCACCGUUGUUAAGGUAAUUUUUUGAUCAAAUAUAUUUUGAUAUAUUUUUCCCUUUUGCAGUUUUCACGUUUAAUUCCAUGCAGUACUAAAGAUUGACGUGGUACUAUAUCAAUGCCAAUAAUUUAAGCUAAUGGGAACUGGACCCAACCAUGUACAUGAAGCUAGUACAAAAGAUACUUAAAUACAAGAUCCAAUCAGAUCCAGUGCUUGCCACAACAAGGGGGCUGCCGACCACUCUCACUUCUCUUCGUCUAUGGUCUCUUCCAAACCUGAAAUCCAUAAACGGAGACACAUUUUGAUAUCUAGCCUCCCAUCAAAAAUUGAGCAUCAAUGAAUGUCAUCUGCUUAAGCAGCGGUGCCAGAGAGGGAUAGGGUUGCUCAAAUUUUCUAAUCCAACAACCACAAGAAGUAGGAUUCUUGUUCUCAUUUGCUUUAAGUAAAUUCCUGGACAAUAGAGAAAAAGAAAUUGCAGUAACUUUUUUUAUUCUGUUUUUGUUUCGUGAUUCCCAGUAGCUGAUUCAACAAGAUCCAUUUCAUAUCGGCAAGCCUUCUUGGUUUUAAAACAAAGUUCCAGCUGCACUUGACCAUUUCACUUCAGUAGUCUGGAUGGUUUAUAGCAGUACAUAUACAGCUCCUCCAAUCUAAGACUGGAUUUUUAUUUAGGAAUUUAAGGGAUGUUUAAAGCAUAUGACAGCAAGCCUUUGUGGUAAAUUUGUGCUAAAGGUACUGCAACUUGUAAUAUUACUGCAGCUAUUUGUAAGAUAUGUUUCUCAGUAUCUUGCACCCUUUGUUUCUCUUAUUACACUUUGAUUGCAACCAUCAUUUCCUCAAAAAAUUAAUUAUUUACUUACCCUUUGAUGGAGUUUUAAUCUGUCGUAUAAUAGUCCUGUUUAUCUGGUGCCUCUUUCCUUUUAUCAAAUCUCGCUGUUGCUUACUGACCCCUUUAUAAAUCUACCUCUAGAUUUUUUAUUUGCAAUCUAAACAUUAAUAUAUCUUAAUUUUUUUCUAAUUACUUAAAGAAAUU